UGAAGGGAUCGGUCUUGAAAACCGACAGGCGGUGAAAGCCGCGCGGGGGUUCGAAUCCCUCUUCCUCCG
rnacentral:tRNA from 1 species